rnacentral:lncRNA from 1 species
AAUAACUUUGAUCUAAAAUUUUAAUGUCAUAUCAUCAUAUUUUGUAAGAUUUUUAUUUUCAGCCGUUGAUUUUGAGCCACUUCGAUUACUAGGCAAAUGAUAUGGAAAAAUCACAAAAUUUAUUUUCUAGAUACUUCAAAUACUCUAGAUCAAGUCUAACGGAGCCGAUCGUCGAUUCGAAAGUCCGAACAUCGAAAAUAAAGUGGAAGCAUGGAGCCCUCUGUGCUUCUAUAAGCAUCCUAGCCGCACUAUAUAUAUAUAUAUAUAUAUAUAUAUGAGAGAGAAAAAGUGGGUGAGUGGUCCACAGUUGGACCACUCAUGCGGUCCACGAGAAUCAGGUUUUCUCGUGGACCGUGAUUUUUUCAACGCUGUGAGCCGCGCCUUUUGGGAUCAAGUUUUCGUUUUCCGCCCGCUGUGGGCGGAAAACAAAAACUUUGUUUUUUACGCAGAAUCCGUAAAAAUUUUUUUCUGGCAACUUUUUUUUACGAGUAACCAAACAAGGGAAAACCAAUUUUCAAGCGAAAAAAAUUUUCAGAGUAGUUUUACAGACAACCAAACACCGCCUAAGUAAAUUAUUCUGCACUGACAAGUAGUUUUGAACCCUUUACCUUUUCCAUUUUUUAAAGAAAACUUCUAAUGUCACGCUAUGGUUUAGUGCUUUCUUAUUGUAAUAUUAUGCGAUCUCAUUUUUCCCUUUUCGUUACCACCUCCAUUAAAACAUAUAAAAGAACUUCAUACUCCCAUUAUGGCUUAUUAAAUAUUCACUUUGGUACACUGUAGGUUACAAAAUUUUCACUUUAGUAAACUAUGGUUUUAACUUUUUCACUGAUUUAACGAUUUAAACCACAAAAUCCUAAAGUGAAAAAGCCCUAAACCAUAGAUCAAAGUGACUAA